CCUGAGAAACCCAAAAGAUCGAAUGGGGAGAUUCAUCGUACGGCCAAGUCUGGCUUCCGUGCGGCACGCGAUGACGGGGACCUCGGUCUCGCGUCACGCUGCCGCCGCGGCAUGUCCGGCUGGGUCUGCGUGCACUUCUCCCCUAGUAGGACGUCGCGACCCGUUGGGUGUCGGAUCAAUGGCCGGUCGGUCGCCUGUCGUGCUCGCGAGAGCGCUUCAGACCGUCCGGUCGAACGUCCGACUGCCCGGCGGUAUCGAACGUUGAAAACUGGUACCGGGCCGCAUUCAGUGCGUUCCUGGCUCGUCGGCAGGCUCGUCUCGCUCGGAUUUACGGACCUAGCGCCGUUGCCGGGCGCUUGGCGCGGCCGUUAGUCGACGAUGUCCUCGGACUGGCUCUUACCGGUCGGCGACGCUACUGCUUUGGGUACUUUC
rnacentral:rRNA from 1 species